ACACGGGGGGCGCAAGCGUUAUUCGGAAUUAUUGGGCGUAAAGGGCGCGUAGGCGGUCUUGUCGGUCAGAUGUGAAAGCCCAGGGCUCAACCCUGGACGUGCAUUUGAAACAGCAAGACUUGAGUACGGGAGAGGAAAGCGGAAUUCCUGGUGUAGAGGUGAAAUUCGUAGAUAUCAGGAGGAACACCGAUGGCGAAGGCAGCUUUCUGGACCGAUACUGACGCUGAGGCGCGGAGGCGUGGGUAGCGAACAGGAUUAGAAACCCGAGUAGUCC
rnacentral:rRNA from 1 species